rnacentral:lncRNA from 1 species
CGCCCCCCUUCUCCUCCUCCUCCUCCUUCUCCUUCAGCCCCGGUCCCUUCCAGUGCCAGGGCUGCGGCUCUGCCCCGUCAGGAGCCGCAGUGGUCCACAAAGGAUUUCCAUUUGUUGAGUGGAAUCAGCUUGAUAGCAUGUCCCUGCACCUCCCUGAUCAGCUAAUGCCUCCCUGGGAAUACCUGUAAGCCUACCAGAAGAUCAGGCGACUAAAAGGGAGAAAUGUGAGACUCAAGCAGCCUCUGGUAUUCAAACCUAUGCCACAUUCCACUUGAAGCACUGAAUGGAAACUCAGAAGUGAAGGCUUAACUGGCAACAGGAAUAAGAAGACAAAAACCUGUAAGCGUGGGAGAAGAGAAGGAGGCAGCAGAAGGAUGCAGAAAGACUCAGUCUGGCCCUGCAUGGAACAGGAGAGGUUCAGCCACUCCUGGUUCUGGAAAUUUAAUUGCAGAUCCAGGGUUUGCAAAACAAAAGUCUAAUUUGGAGUAUGUUGGCCCCAAGUUACAAGGUGGAAACCUGGAAACCGUAAGAGUCAAUUCAAGCAAACUGGUAAAGAACAUUAACAUGCUGAGAAACACCAACAGGCAAAAUGCUAGGUUACAACGAAGUGCAAAUCGUUUUGCACCUGCAGAUGGGACCUUCAGCCUGACUGUGACUCCAGUGCCAGACUGCUUUCUUUUACUCUCAAAUCACCCAUGCAGUACUUCAUUCCUGCAAAUGUGUAAUGCAGAACAACCUGCAGUGGUGUCUAGAUUCCUCUGCAUACUGUCACAGAACAUGGAUUAAAAGUAAAAAGCAGCUGCAAG